ensembl:snoRNA SNORA70 Small nucleolar RNA SNORA70
CUGCAUUAAGCCGACCAUGCUCUCUUCCCCCAUGGGGGCCUGGUGUGCAAUGGCUGCAAACAGUUGCAUUCUGAUUUAUUUUUAAGUAUUU